AAAGGGAUCAGAGCUGAUAUGAAAAUUAUCUCGGGAGAGGGAGGUCUUUGAGGGAGAGCUCUUGGGGAAAGGACUCAAUUGCACAGAAGAAAAUGUUAGGAAAAUUUUCACCUGACUGUACAGAAAGCUGAGUUAAGGGGCUGGAAGAGGACCGGGUGCUUCCCUGACAGUCCAGUGGCUAAGACUUCACCUUCCGACGCUCCAAGUGCAGAUUCGAUCCCUGGUCAAGGAGCUAAGACCCCACAUGCCUCAUGGCCCAAAAACCAAAACACACG